rnacentral:rRNA from 1 species
UACAGGGGGUGCAAACGUUGCUCGGAAUUAUUGGGCGUAAAGCGCGCGUAUGUGGCCUGUUAAGUCGGGUGUGAAAUCCCUGGGCUCAACCCAGGAAGUGCACUCGAAACUGGCGGGCUUGAGUACUGAAGAGGGUCGCGGAAUUCCCGGUGUAGAGGUGAAAUUCGUAGAUAUCGGGAGGAACACCAGUGGCGAAGGCGGCGACCUGGGCAGAUACUGACACUGAGGUGCGAAAGCGUGGGGAGCAAACAGG